CAGAGAGGUUUAUGCCGUCAUAAUACAGCGACUAUUUAACGUCACAUUUUAAUUCAAGAAAACUAAAUAACAACUUUGUUUUUGCACAGACAUGUUAAUUGUGUAUAUGUAUGCAGAACAACGCUGGGUGCAGAUAUUUCUUUGUUUGUUCUUUCACAGCCUACUAGAGAUACGGCCUGAUAAUUCACAUUUUACGUUUGAAAUUAGAAGGCCUAUUGUACGUCACAAACACCAUUAUUUUCAAUUGUUACGUCAUGUAUUUUGCUUAAAAAAGGUACCAGUAAUGGGAAAAACGCAUUGAAAAACAUACGAAUUUAGCAAUGAGUUGGAACUAGGGGUUUUUCGCUUUCCAUGCUUUACCAAGUGAGCUUCUUAAUUAUUCUCGUAAAUUCCACCGUGUGGAUCAAGCUGCCAGUC